UACAGAGGGGUCGAGCGUUGUUCGGAAUUACUGGGCGUAAAGGGCGCGUAGGCGGCCCGCUAAGUCGAACGUGAAAUCCCCAGGCUCAACCUGGGAACUGCGUCCGAUACUGGCAGGCUUGAAUCCGGGAGAGGGAUGUGGAAUUCCAGGUGUAGCGGUGAAAUGCGUAGAUAUCUGGAGGAACACCGGUGGCGAAGGCGGCAUCCGGGACCAACACUGACACUGAGGAGCGAAAGCCAGGGGAGCAAACGGG
rnacentral:rRNA from 1 species